rnacentral:misc_RNA from 1 species
UCACAAUAUCAAGCUUGGCUUGUUGUUGGGCCCUUUGUCACCUAGUGACAGGUCCAAAAGAUAAUAACCGGUGUCAUACAGACUCUAUAUGCAACGAGCUUUAUAACAGCACGCAUCUGGUAGUCGUGUGGCCCGGUUCUCACUUUGAUAAGUAUAUUUCUCAA